ensembl:lncRNA
GGUGUGUGGAGGUGGUGUAGUGGUGUGUGGUGGGGUGUGGAGGUGGUGUGUAGUGGUGUGUGGAGGCGUGUGGUGGGGUGUGGAGGUGGUGUAGUGGUGUGUGGAGGUGUGUGGAGGUGGUGUAGUGGUGUGUGGAGGUGUGUAGUGGUGUGUGGAGGUGUGUGGUGGCGUGUGGUGGGUGUGGAGGUGGUGUGGUGGUGUGUGGAGGUGGUGUAGUGGUGUGUGGAGGUGUGUGGUGGGGUGUGGAGGUGGUGUAGUGGUGUGUGGAGGUGGUGUAGUGGUGUGUGGAGGCGUUUGGUGGUGUGUGGAGGUGGUGUAGUGGUGUGUGGAGGUGGUGUAGUGGGGUUUGGAGGUGGUGUAGUGGGGUUUGGAGGUGUGUGGAGGUGGUGUGGUGGGGUGUGGAGGUGGUGUGUGGAGGUGGUGUGUGGAGGGGUGUG